UACGGAGGGUGCAAGCGUUGUUCGGAAUUACUGGGCGUAAAGCGCACGUAGGUGGCUUUGCAAGUCGAUUGUGAAAUCCCCGGGCUUAACCUGGGAACUGCAGUCGAGACUGCUUUGCUUGAGUAUGGGAGAGGGAGGUGGAAUUUCCGGUGUAGCGGUGAAAUGCGUAGAUAUCGGAAGGAACAUCAGUGGCGAAGGCGACCUCCUGGACCAAUACUGACACUCAAGUGCGAAAGCGUGGGGAGCAAACAGG
rnacentral:rRNA from 1 species